UUAGGUAGUUGGUUAGGUAAUGGCUUACCAAGCCGUUGAUCGGUACGGGUUGUGAGAGCAAGAGCCCGGAGAUGGAACCUGAGACAAGGUUCCAGGCCCUACGGGGUGCAGCAGGCGCGAAACCUCCGCAAUGUGAGAAAUCGCGACGGGGGGAUCCCAAGUGCCAUUCUUAACGGGAUGGCUUUUCAUUAGUGUAAAGAGCUUUUGGAAUAAGGGCUGGGCAAGACCGGUGCCAGCCGCCGCGGUAACACCGGCAGCUCUAGUGGUAGCAGUUUUUAUUGGGCCUAAAGCGUCCGUAGCCGGUUUAAUAAGUCUCUGGUGAAAUCCUGUAGCUUAACUGUGGGAAUUGCUGGAGAUACUAUUAGACUUGAGACCGGGAGAGGUUAGAGGUACUCCCAGGGUAGAGGUGAAAUUCUGUAAUCCUGGGAGGACCGCCUGUUGCGAAGGCGUCUAACUGGAACGGUUCUGACGGUGAGGGACGAAAGUUAGGGGCGCGAACCGGAUUAGAUACCCGGGUAGUCCUAACCGUAAACGAUGCGGACUUGGUGUUGGGGUGGCUUUGAGCUGCUCCAGUGCCGAAGGGAAGCUGUUAAGUCCGCCGCCUGGGAAGUACGGUCGCAAGACUGAAACUUAA
rnacentral:rRNA from 1 species